AAAGGAAGGCACAAGCAUUUAUAAUAUCCUGUGCUAAGUAGGAACUGAAUAUUGUCAAGAAUGAAGCAGAACAGUCACAAGCCUUUUACCUCAUUUGGUAGAAGUGACUUCACAAAGGGAAUUUCAUUUGAACUGUGCUUUGAGAGAAGAUUACUGAGAAUGAACAGUCAAGAUACAAGAGAAUAAUGCCUAACAGAAAGUAGAGCAUGUAUAAGCGUGUAACAACAUGGAAUUAAAGACUGUAGUAAACUGAAGAAAGGAAGUGAGAAGCUACAAGAAAUGUACUCAGAGUAAACAAAAAGUAAAACAAGCUAACAGAUUUUGCAAACAUGGAGAAAGAUGAAAGCCCAGAUCAACAGCCAUGCAGCAGGCCAGAGACCAGGGUGUGAUGGACACGUACAUCACUGGGCAUGGACACACACAGGAAAACAGUGUACAAUAAUAAAAGGAGUUAUGCUAAA